CUGGCUCAGGACGAACGCUGGCGGCGUGCCUAACACAUGCAAGUCGAACGGACUGAUUCACUUCGGUGAUGAAAGUUAGUGGCGGACGGGUGAGUAACGCGUGAGUAACCUGCCUUACAGCGUGGGAUACCGUUUCGAAAGGAACGCUAAUACCGUAUAACGUACAGAUAUCGCAUGGUGACUGUACCAAAGGAGCAAUCCGCUGUAAGAUGGACUCGCGUCCGAUUAGAUAGUUGGCGGGGUAACGGCCCACCAAGUCGACGAUCGGUAGCCGGACUGAGAGGUUGAUCGGCCACAUUGGGACUGAGACACGGCCCAGACUCCUACGGGAGGCAGCAGUGAGGGAUAUUGCACAAUGGGCGCAAGCCUGAUUGCAGCAACGCCGCGUGAGGGAAGACGGUUUUCGGAUUGUAAACCGCUGUCAAGUGGGACGAAACAAAUGACGGUACCGCUGAAGGAAGUCACGGCUAACUACGUGCCAGCAGCCGC
rnacentral:rRNA from 1 species